AACAGGAUUAGAUACCCUGGUAGUCCACGCCGUAAACGAUGUCAACUAGCCGUUGGGAUCCUUGAGAUCUUAGUGGCGCAGCUAACGCAUUAAGUUGACCGCCUGGGGAGUACGGCCGCAAGGUUAAAACUCAAAUGAAUUGACGGGGGCCCGCACAAGCGGUGGAGCAUGUGGUUUAAUUCGAUGCAACGCGAAGAACCUUACCUACUCUUGACAUCCACGGAAUUUGGCAGAGAUGCCUUAGUGCCUUCGGGAACCGUGAGACAGGUGCUGCAUGGCUGUCGUCAGCUCGUGUUGUGAAAUGUUGGGUUAAGUCCCGCAACGAGCGCAACCCUUAUCCUUUGUUGCCAGCGAUUCGGUCGGGAACUCAAAGGAGACUGCCGGUGAUAAACCGGAGGAAGGUGGGGAUGACGUCAAGUCAUCAUGGCCCUUACGAGUAGGGCUACACACGUGCUACAAUGGCGCAUACAAAGAGAAGCGACCUCGCGAGAGCAAGCGGACCUCAUAAAGUGCGUCGUAGUCCGGAUCGGAGUCUGCAACUCGACUCCGUGAAGUCGGAAUCGCUAGUAAUCGUGGACCAGAAUGCCACGGUGAAUACGUUCCCGGGCCUUGUACACACCGCCCGUCACACCAUGGGAGUGGGUUGCAAAAGAAGUAGGUAGCUUAACCUUCGGGAGGGCGCUUACCACUUUGUGAUUCAUGACUGGGGGUGAAGUCGUAACAAGGUAACC
rnacentral:rRNA from 1 species